GGAGGUGAGGGUGAUCUGGCUGUGACAUCUGUCACCAGAGUCGGUUUGGCUGACCUGGCUGACUAGGUGGUGUCCUUUUCCUCUCUUUCUGCUCCAUGCGCGUCCCUCCUAAAGCUGCAUGCUGGGUUGCAGAGGAUGACCGCCUCCAACAGAGGAGGAUCAUUCCUUGGUCAAGAGCAUACAAGUAGCUGUGCUCCCCUUCUAGAACCUCCCAACUGUUCUGGUCCAAUUUGAAGGCGUGCCUGUUUGGGUGGCCACGGUUA
rnacentral:snRNA from 1 species